UCAGUUUUGGACAUACACGUGGUCGUGCUGGUGUGUAUCCUACAGGACAUCAUCAGCCAUCACUUUCUUUUUUCUCUUGGGGUAAGCACACAGACGCUCAGCAUGGCGAAGAACUGGAAAAGAGGGAGUGCACAAGAGAUUUAGUCCUGCUGUUGGCUUGAGUGUUUCCUCUCUGGACAAAAGUGGACACCUCUGCAAUGAAGAUAACCAGGAUAAUAGCCAAGAACUGAAAAUAAAAAGAGAGACAGUAAGAGGGAAUCCCAUAGCACUUGAAUUCAACUGCACAAUACACUUCACAUUAAUUUACAGCAGUAGCUUAUCGUUAUCUCUUACUGCCUCUCCAAUUAAAAUAGUUUCCAGAAAAUAAUUUAGAAUAGAAGAAGUGGUGGCUGCCUCAACCCCGUUCAAGGCCAGGUUGGACAGGGUUUGGAACAACCUGGUGGUAUUGGUUGGUCUGUGGAAGCUGUGGCUGCCUGUGGAAAAGAGGCUGGAAUUGGAUGAGCUUUCAGAGCCUUUCCAGCCCAAAGCUUUUGGGGAUUACUGUGGCUCCACAGGCUCUGUGCCCGAUCCUGAACUCUGCCAUGACAUGAGCUGUGUGAAGAGCCUGUGGAACACUUCAAGGUGGAUGCCAAAGGGGAGAUAAACCAGGGGCUGAGUGAGUACAUUGUGCACUGCUUGUUGGGCUCACAUUGCCUUCAGGGCGUGACUUGGGGCACGAAGGCACUCUGAGUGACCCUUUCUGGAUUUUUAACAGUCAUUCUGUGGUCAGUCAAGGCAUGCUUUCAAGCACCCUGAGGAAUAAAGUCAGCAGAAAAACCGAUCCUAUCGCCCAGUUUCCCCUCCCGAGGUCCAGCCUGGCACCUUCCCUGCCGGGGGAGGCAGCUGGAGCACACGGAC